AACGAACGCUGGCGGCGUGCCUAACACAUGCAAGUCGAACGAGAUCUUCGGGUCUAGUGGCGCACGGGUGCGUAACGCGUGGGAAUCUGCCCUUUGGUUCGGAAUAACAGUUGGAAACGACUGCUAAUACCGGAUGAUGACGAAAGUCCAAAGAUUUAUCGCCAGAGGAUGAGCCCGCGUAGGAUUAGCUAGUUGGUGUGGUAAAGGCGCACCAAGGCGACGAUCCUUAGCUGGUCUGAGAGGAUGAUCAGCCACACUGGGACUGAGACACGGCCCAGACUCCUACGGGAGGCAGCAGUGGGGAAUAUUGGACAAUGGGCGAAAGCCUGAUCCAGCAAUGCCGCGUGAGUGAUGAAGGCCUUAGGGUUGUAAAGCUCUUUUACCCGGGAUGAUAAUGACAGUACCGGGAGAAUAAGCUCCGGCUAACUCCGUGCCAGCAGCCGCGGUAAAAC
rnacentral:rRNA from 1 species